UGGCACCACCAACCUGAAAUAUCAAACUAAUCCCCCGCAAGUUGUUCGCAGAACGAAAAAUUCGCCCUAUAGAAGGUUAAAAAAUUCAUAAAAUCGAUCCCACCUUUAAAACGUUUAAAUAUAUAUCGCCUUCGAUACUUUUCGCUUUCUAUUUGUCCCAAUGUAAAACCAACGUUCGGAACGUUCACGUAAAAGUAAAUCAUGCGCGUUCGUGCCAUAAAUAACUACAUCCUAUCUAUGUAAAUGAAAACUAGAUGCAGUCAAAGAUCGUCGAAGUUCAUUAAAUAAUCCUAAUUGUAAUCCUAGGUUCAAGCUUCGACUGCGCAGCACCGAUUUGCGUAAAAUGAUUUGGACGUUCGCGUUAUCGUUUAUUGCGCUGUCGCGGAGUGAUUAGCAACCCAGCGAGAAUCGUCGCAGGUCAAAUCACGGAUCCCGGUUAUUGUACGCCGGUGGACGAGGUCGUCGAUUGAAAUUCAGUUACCUUCACCUGUCGGGGGAUCGUUGGAAGUCGAGGAACGAAACUUCCGGAUAUUUCAUCGAAGGAGAGGGGAGGGGAAGGACCUUGCAGAGUAAAUACCGAGAAACUCGUGAUAUGGCCGACAAGAUAGCUAUGACGAGAAACGCGGAAAACGCGAGCAGGGGUGAAAAUGAGGAAGAGGAAUACGAUCCUGCCGCGCACCGUCCCCCAGGACCCCUGACUUCGGACUUCGCCGUACUCAUGCAUCUAUUGAAGACCUCCAUUGGAAAUGGAAUACUUUUCUUGCCUAACGGAUUCAGGAGAACAGGCUACGUAAUGUCAAUAAUCUGCAGUGUCUUUAUAGGCUUGACGUGCACCCACACAGUCGUGGUGUUGGUGCGAUGCGCUCAGGUGUUAUGCAGGCGCAAUCGCAUACCGAUGCUGGAUUUCGCCCAAACGGCGGAGGUCUCGUUCCAAAGUGGUCCCCGAUGGAUUCGAAAGUAUGGGAAAACGUUUGGCGUUUUCAUCAACAUUUUCGUCUGUUUUGUACACUUCCAAGGUGCCGUCAUAUACAUACUUUACGUUGCCACCUCCUUUCAGCAAGUGAUCGAGUUCUUUUCUGGGUUCGAAAUGGACGCGCGAAUCUACAUAGCCGCCUUGUUCCCUUUCGUCUGCGGACUCGGCUUCGUGCCAAACCUGGCGUACCUGGCACCUUUUUCCAUAAUCGGUUUUCUAUUCAUGUUCGUCGGCAUUUGCGUCACCCUUUACUAUCUGCUGGACAAUUUCCCCGAUCCUGGAAGGCUCGAAACGUUCACGGACGUGUUGCAUGUGCCGAUGUAUUGCAACUUGAUGCUGUACGCUCUGCACAACGUGACCAUGUACAUGCCGUUGGAGAACACGAUGAAGAACCCGCACCACCUGCCGCGGCUGAUUACGUUCAACAUGUUGCUUAAUACCUGCCUGUACACAGCGUUCGGAUUUUUGGGGUACAACAAGUACAUGCUCGAUACCUGCGACACUGUGAUCAAGAAUCUCCCGAUCGAGGAAACGCUCGCCCAAACCAUUAAAAUAGUCAUUAGUUUGGCUGUCUUUUUCUCGUUUGGGUUAGCUUAUUACGUGCCAAUGUCAAUAUUGUGGCCAAUGAUCGAGUCGAAAUUUAAGACUCCCAGUUAUGGCAAAGUUGCGUUUCAGUUCAGUGGAAUACUUCUGACGACACUAUUAGCCAUCACUAUCCCUAACAUGAUUCCUCUUCUUGGACUACUGACAGCAUUAAGCGUAACCACCGUGAUGUUAUUAAUUCCCGUACUGAUAGAAACUGCAACAAAAUGGCACGAGGCUACGCGGCUUCUUUUAGCGAAGAACAUAAGCAUAUUCCUCAUUUGGAUGCUCCUGUUGCGUCGGAAAUAAACCAUAUCAACUUUGGGAAAGCUGUAUAUUAUUCUUCAAUGUUUCAUUCUUGAGUCAUUUUUGGAGCAAUUGAGAGUACGUGGUCCAUCAUUAGAGAAUACAAUGGCGUGAAAGAGAAAGGGUGUUGAUUAGCAGUCAAUUACUGAAAAUGAACAUUUUCCUGAACUUCAUGGAAUCUCAAUAAAUUUGAUAAGUCGGUAGAUUUGUACUUUUUAGUAAUUACGAAAUAUACAUAUUACUCUAAGUUUCAUUUGUAAAUUUAAGAAUAUCGUGUAAGUUAUAUUUUAGCGUAAAACUGAAUAAUUUAAGAAGAUGGUUGCAGAGUCCGAAAAUUAAACCGCAAGGUAAGACGUACACGAAGAGACUUGGGCAAAGUUGCUUACAUUAUAUCAUUUUCUUGUCGACUAGAAUGAAUGUGGAAGUAAAAAUACAAUAACUUUUCGAACAACUUGCUUUAAUUUAUUUACAGCGAUUGAUUUCAAAUUGUUUUAUACACAGCAACGGAACAGGAUAAGAUUAUAUUGCAAUGGCAUCAGCGCAAAGAGAAGACCUUUAAUUCGCGGAUGUACAAAUUCUUGUGGUAAUGAGAUAACAUCAAGAUAUAUUCUAGAAAACCAUGUAACAUUCGUUCAGUAGAAUUGCCAGAGGUAACUCAUAUGGUUUAUCGAUUCCGUAUGAAUAAUUUAAUAUGCUAAGUGUGAAUGGUUGAAUAGUCAUGAAAACAGUUCUUGGUACAGUGACGAUUUUGAUUGAAGAUUAAUGAGAAAAUAAUUAAUUUCUUUUUUAAUCACAAGGAUUGUAUUAUAAUAAAAAUUUUACGAAAUUUCUUUUUCGUUUCCAGGUAUGGAUAAAAGUAGUAGUACUAAAACUAGCUAUGUUAUUUUUUAAAUCGAGUUAAGAGACAAAUUUCCGUUCAAAUUUCAACUUGUCUUAAAUGUAAUCUAUUCGCAUAGUUUCAGAAUGAUUUUCAAUUAUCCACACAUAAUUAAAACGAGUUCAUCUAAGCUUAAAUUCGGUAUUAAUUUUAUCACGAGGGUCUCGCUAAUCUAUCGAUAACAUUCGGAUGAAUAGACUAUUAGGAGUCCGAAAAUUCUUAAUUCAAUUAGUAACGGCCAUACCGGCACGCGUGCUGCGUCGCUUUCAAGUUCAAUUAGCUAGGUUUCAAUUUCUCAGCAGCCGGUCGCUCGAGCUAGGGAUACAUAAACAGUGAUACUUUUCAUAGCUUACUCUUUACUUUCGACACGUUUCUCCACGGAUCUCAAUAACAGUUUAAUCAUCAGCCAUGUAACCCAAAUCAUGUAACAUCAGUCGCGAAUGAUGUCGUUCGCGAUCCAUCCGUUUGCACCACUUACGCAACGCUGGAGACCGGCAUCGGAGCGAGGCGUCGGUGCCAGCAUCGGGAAAAAGAGCGAUCGCCAGGGAAAAGAGCUCAGGAGAUCACCAGGUAUCUGGAGAGGGUAGAUAUCGUGGAGGGAACGUUGCGAUGCACAGAGCGAACCGGAUGGAACAGAGGGAGACAGAACGAAGGUGAAAGGGAGCAGGCGAAAUGCAGACGGUGCGAAAUCCGCUGAACCAGAGUCGAUCGCGGUCGCGUUGGCCCUGUCUUCGCGCAUUCGUCGCGAUGCUAAGGACGACUCGAGACAGU